CCAAUAGCGUAUAUUAGAGUGUUUAAAGCAGGCUAACGUCUGAAUACAUUAGCAUGGAAUAAUAAAAUAGGACGGCAUGAUUCUAUUUUGUUGGUUUCUAGGAUCACCGUAAUGAUUAAUAGGGAUAGUUGGGGGCAUUAGUAUUCAAUUGUCAGAGGUGAAAUUCUUGGAUUUAUUGAAGACUAACUACUGCGAAAGCAUUUGCCAAGGAUGUUUUCAUUAAUCAAGAACGAAAGUUAGGGGAUCGAAGACGAUCAGAUACCGUCGUAGUCUUAACCAUAAACUAUGCCGACUAGGAAUCAGACGAUGUUAAUUUUUUAAUGACUCGUUUGGCACCUUACG
rnacentral:rRNA from 1 species